ACCUGGCUGGCUCAGUUGGAAGAGCAUGUGACUUUUGAUCUUGGGGUUGUGAGUUCUAGCCUCAGGUUGGGUA
rfam:Canis lupus familiaris chromosome 6, whole genome shotgun sequence.